CCUACGGGUGGCACCAGUGGGGAAUCUUGGGCAAUGGGCGCAAGCCUGACCCAGCAACGCCGCGUGUGGGAAGAAGGCCUUCGGGUCGUAAACCACUGUCAGGAGGGAAGAAAAGCAGUCGCCAAACAGGUGGCUGUAUUGACGGUACCUCCAGAGGAAGCACCGGCCAACUCCGUGCCAGCAGCCGCGGUAAUACGGAGAGUGCAAGCGUUAUUCGGAAUCACUGGGCGUAAAGCGCGCGUAGGCGGCAGCGCAAGUCAGAUGUGAAAGCCCUCGGCUAAACCGGGGAAUUGCAUCUGAAACUGCGUAGCUAGAGUUCGGGAGAGGGCGGCGGAACUCCCGGUGUAGGGGUGAAAUCCGUAGAUAUCGGGAGGAACACCAGAGGCGAAGGCGGCCGCCUGGACCGAAACUGACGCUGAGGCGCGAAAGCGUGGGUAGCAAACAGGAUUAGAUACCCUAGUAGC
rnacentral:rRNA from 1 species